UACGUAGGGGGCUAGCGUUGUCCGGAUUUAUUGGGCGUAAAGAGCGUGUAGGCGGCCAGGUAGGUCCGUUGUGAAAACUCGAGGCUUAACCUCGAGAUGCCGACGGAAACCAUCUGGCUAGAGUCCGGAAGAGGAGAGUGGAAUUCCCGGUGUAGCGGUGAAAUGCGCAGAUAUCGGGAAGAACACCGGUGGCGAAGGCGGGUCUCUGGGCCGAUACUGACGCUGAGGAGCGAAAGCGUGGGGAGCGAACAGG
rnacentral:rRNA from 1 species